AACGAACGCUGGCGGCGCGCCUAAUACAUGCAAGUCGAACGAGAAGCUGUAGCAAUACAGUUGUACAGUGGCGAACGGGUGAGGAAUACACGGGUGACCUACCCUCGAGUGGGGAAUAACCAGCCGAAAGGUUGGCUAAUACCGCGUACGCUUCCCAGUCUACGGGUUGGGAAGGGAAAGCGAUGCCGUGGGUAUCGCGCUCAAGGUUGGGCUCAUGUCCUAUCAGCUUGUUGGGGGGUAACGGCUCACCAAGGCAACGACGGGUAGCUGGUCUGAGAGGACGAUCAGCCACACUGGCACUGCGACACGGGCCAGACUCCUACGGGAGGCAGCAGUAAGGAAUAUUGCGCAAUGGGCGAAAGCCUGACGCAGCGACGCCGCGUGGGGGAGUGAA
rnacentral:rRNA from 1 species